AGUGAUUCCCUACGGGGCGCAGCAGGCGCGAAAACUUUACAAUGCGAGAAAUCGUGAUAAGGGAACUCCGAGUGCCCGUUAAAUCGGGCUGUCCAUCUGUGUAAACAACAGGUGAAGAGAGGGCCGGGCAAGACCGGUGCCAGCCGCCGCGGUAAUACCGGCGGCUCGAGUGGUGGCCACUAUUACUGGGCUUAAAGCGUUCGUAGCUGGUCUGUUAAGUCUCUGGGGAAAUCUACCGGCUUAACCGGUAGGCGUCUCAGGGAUACUGGCAGACUAGGGACCGGGAGAGGUGAGAGGUACUCCAGGGGUAGGAGUGAAAUCCUGUUUACG
rnacentral:rRNA from 1 species